rnacentral:rRNA from 1 species
UACGAAGGGGGCUAGCGUUGCUCGGAAUUACUGGGCGUAAAGCGCACGUAGGCGGAUCUUUAAGUCAGGGGUGAAAUCCUGGAGCUCAACUCCAGAACUGCCUUUGAUACUGAGGACCUUGAGUUCGGGAGAGGUGAGUGGAACUGCGAGUGUAGAGGUGAAAUUCGUAGAUAUUCGCAAGAACACCAGUGGCGAAGGCGGCUCACUGGCCCGAUACUGAC